rnacentral:rRNA from 1 species
GAUGAACGCUGGCGGCGUGCUUAACACAUGCCAGUCGAACGAUGAAGCCCAGCUUGCUGGGUGGAUUAGUGGCGAACGGGUGAGUAACACGUGAGUAACCUGCCCUUAACUCUGGGAUAAGCCUGGGAAACUGGGUCUAAUACCGGAUAGGAGCGUCCACCGCAUGGUGGGUGUUGGAAAGAUUUAUCGGUUUUGGAUGGCCUAGCGGCCUAUCAGCUUGUUGGUGAGGUAUUGGCUCACCAAGGCGACGCCGGGUAGCCGGCCUGGGAGGGUGACCGGCCACACUGGGACUGAGACACGGCGCAGACUCCUACGGGAGGCAGCAGUGGGGAAUAUUGCACAAUGGGCGCAAGCCUGAUGCAGCGACGCCGCGUGAGGGAUGACGGCCUUCGGGUUGUAAACCUCUUUCAGUAGGGAAGAAGCGAAAGUGACGGUACCUGCAGAAGAAGCACCGGCUAACUACGUG